rnacentral:rRNA from 1 species
GACGAACGCUGGCGGCGUGCUUAACACAUGCAAGUCGAACGGAAAGGCCCUGCUUUUGUGGGGUGCUCGAGUGGCGCACGGGUGAGUGAAACGUGUGUAACCUGCCCUUAACUUUGGGAUAAAAUCAGGAGACUCGGGCUAAUACCGGAUAGGAGCUCCUGCAGCGUGGUGUGGGAUGGAAAGAUUCGGCGGUUGGGGCUGGUAUCGCGGGUUAUCAGCUUGUUGGGGUGGUAGUGGCUUUCCAAGGCUUUGACGGGUAGCCGGCAUUGGAGGGUUACCGGCCACAUGGGGACUGCGAUACGGCCCAGACUCCUACGGGAGGCAGCAGUGGGAAAUAUUGCACAAUGGGCGGUAGUCUGAUGCAGCAACGCCGCGUUCGUGAUGACGGCUUUCGGGUUGUAAACCGCUGUGGCCUGUGCCGAAGCGUGAGUGACGGUAAUGGGUCAAGAAGCACCGGCUAACUACGUG